UUCGGGAUGCCGGCGAGUGGCGAACGGGUGAGUAAUACGUGGAAACCUAUCCCGAGGUGGGGGAUAACAGCUGGAAACGGCUGCUAAUACCGCAUAAGCCCUGAGGGGGAAAGAUUUAUCGCCUUGGGAGGGGUCCACGUCGGAUUAGCUAGUUGGUAGGGUAAAGGCCUACCAAGGCGACGAUCCGUAGCUGGUCAGAGAGGAUGGACAGCCACACUGGGACUGAGACACGGCCCAGACUCCUACGGGAGGCAGCAGUGGGGAAUAUUGCGCAAUGGGGGAAACCCUGACGCAGCGAUGCCGCGUGGGUGAAGAAGGCCUUCGGGUUGUAAAGCCCUUUCAGUGGGGAAGAUAGUGACGGUACCCACAGAAGAAGCUCCGGCUAACUCCGUGCCAGCAGCCGCGGUAAUACGGAGGGGGCGAGCGUUGUUCGGAAUUACUGGGCGUAAAGGGCGCGUAGGCGGUGCAGCAAG
rnacentral:rRNA from 1 species